rnacentral:rRNA from 1 species
GGGACCUGUGGCUGGAUCACCU